GAUGAAGAACGUAGCGAAAUGCGAUAAGUAAUGUGAAUUGCAGAAUUCAGUGAAUCAUCGAAUCUUUGAACGCACAUUGCGCCCCUUGGUAUUCCGAGGGGCAUGCCUGUUCGAGCGUCAUUAUAACCCUCAAGCUCAGCUUGGUGUUGGGGCCUGCUGCACUGGCAGCCCUUAAAAUCAGUGGCGGCGCCAUCUGGCUCUAAGCGUAGUAAUUCUUCUCGCUAUGGAGUCCUGGUGGAUGCUUGCCAUCAACCCCCAAUUUUUCUAUGGUUGACCUCGGAUCAGGUAGGGAUACCCGCUGAACUUAAGCAUAUCAAUAAGCGGAGGU
rnacentral:misc_RNA from 1 species